rnacentral:rRNA from 1 species
CCUACGGGAGGCAGCAGUGAGGAAUAUUGGUCAAUGGGCGUAAGCCUGAACCAGCCAAGUCGCGUGAGGGAUGAAGGUUCUAUGGAUCGUAAACCGCUUUUAUACUGGAAUAAAGCGCCUGACGUGUACCGUUUUGUAUGUACCUUAUGAAUAAGGAUCGGCUAACUCCGUGCCAGCAGCCGCGGUAAUACGGAGGGUCCGAGCGUUAUCCGGAUUUAUUGGGUUUAAGGGGUGCGUAGGCGGCCUGUUAAGACAGCGGUGAAAUGUUUGGGCUCAACCAUAGAGUUGCCGCUGAAACUGGUGUGCUUGAGUAUGUGUAAGGCAGGCGGAAUGCGUGGUGUAGCGGUGAAAUGCUUAGAUAUCACGAAGAACCCCGAUUGCGAAGGCAGCCUGC